CAGAGGGACAGAUACAGACAGAGGGACAGAUACAGACAGAGGGACAGAUACAGACAGAGGGAAAGGACAGAGUGUGGGAUAGAAGUGAGAUUGGGUAACAGCUGGGGGGUGGGAGGAACACAGACAGAUUUGGCUGAAAUUGGCAGUUGGGAGGGAGGGAAAUGCGAAUAAGAGGGAGGGACAGAGCAGAUAGUGGGUGAGACCCUCAUAGAGAAGGAAGGGCCUGGGGAGGGACACUGAUAGGGGGGAGGAGAAUUGGGGGUGGGAGGGAUUGAGGGGAAGGAGCAGAGUCGGGAGUGGGAGGGAAAUACUGAAGAAGGGAAGGGGGUCGCUAGAAGUCCAGGGGCGCAGGGAGAGACAGAGUCAGAGCUGCAGGAGAGGAUCACGUUACACUUCUCUGUAUCUCCAGCCCCCGCUCCUGAUCUGCGCGACCCCUCAGCCCGACUCGGCCAGUAUCUCCUGCCUGAGGAUCUGUCCCUGGUGCUGAAAGCCGGGCCCGCCUGUAGCGCAGAGAGAAGAAGCCGCGACAUCUCCGGCCCAGAGACACAGUUGCACUGGAGGAGUCGGGAGUCAAGGGCAACGUGUCGGGGGCGCGGGUUUAGUGGCAGGAGAGUCCGAGGCUGAGUGUGAGGGACAGGCCGGGGCAGCUGCUCUCAAACUGACACCAACUCGGGCCUUGAACAACCUCCGAUCCACCAGCUGUUCCUUAAUAAUCAUCUCACAGUUCAUAGAAGGACCCCCCAUAAACCAAACACUGCAAGGACUCAAUAGGGAACCUCUUACUAGCAAGGACCCCCAGUCCAACUGUGACAAGUAGCUGAUUAACAGGAGAAGCCCCCAGGCCUCCAGGGACCAUACAAGAGACCCCCCCCCCCAGGCUGGACACAAACUCAAAGCCCUUAGUUGGGACCCUCGUUAACAAGAGGAGACCCAAACAAGAGUGAAGUUUAAAACCCCCUGCAUGGAUCUCAUUAGUAAUAACCAAACCAGGUAACCAGGUAAAGGUACAACUCCAAUCCCACAUUUAGGAUCCUUUUACACCCCAAGAUAAGCACCAGCUACUGACCAAGUGUGAGAUCACAGCUCUGCUUCUCUUUCCAUCCACCAGGAACUCCUCCAAGAUUAUCCUCACUGGAGAAACCCUGGUCUACAUAUACAAAGAGCAACAAUUAAAGGGAGAGCAGAGCCGACUUGGAGAUUUUUGGAAGCUUUUGUCUGCAUGAUGCCAUCAAUAGACCAGAUUUUAAUCACCCCGUCAACAUCCAGACUAGCCACCCGGCGCCCGGAGCAGUCGACCCUGCCAGAGAAAAAGCAAUAAUGUUAACGGCUGGCAAAUAAACAACUUUAAAGGGAUGGUUCACCUUUGAGUUAACUCUUA